rnacentral:lncRNA from 1 species
AUCUGAUGUGACCAUUGAGUGUGUCACUCUAGAAGAGAAGGCAAGUGGUGGGGCUGAUUCCAGUUCAUCAUCCUCUGAAGAGGAAAAUGGGUCCGAGAGUCCACCCACUGAAAACCAGCCUGUUCAAGCUACAAGUAAUCGCCCUCAUCUCAGUGAGGCUGAACGGGCCAGACGCCGCGAAGGUCACUUGUGCCUCUACUGUGGCCAUCCUGGUCAUUUUGCCAGAGACUGCCCUGUUAAGCCUCAGCGUGCCCAGCAGGCGGGAAACAUGGAGGCCCGGCGGUAAGGGGGAUCCCGGGCGGGCCAAUCUAUAAAUACGCGUCCCCCUCUCUUCCCAUAUCUAUGUCCCGUACCCUAUGGCUAACUGUUGAGAUUAGGCUUGGAAGACGGCAGUUCUUUGAACAAGCAAUGGUGGAUUCAGGCUCCUACAGAAACAGCAUCGACCGCUCUGUGGUUCUUCGAGAGAAGAUACCAAUCCGCAAUAACAUCUUCCCUCUCAUGCUCGAAACUGUCGAUGGGCGUCCACUGAUUAAUGGACCCAUAACCAAAGAAACGCCACCUGUUGAAGUCAAAAUUGGAAAUCACGUUGAAGAGCUCCAGUUUGACAUUAUUCAUGCACCACGCUACCCUCUGAUUCUUGGAAUCCAUUGGCUUGAGACACAUGACCCGAACAUCGAGUGGAGUACCCGAACUGUGUCCUUUCCAUCGCAUUAUUGUCAUUACAAUUGUUUCAGGAACAGGUGGAAUCGAAGACGGCGUGAUGAAAUAAUUGCUGGUUAGAUGGUGGGUCCUAGUGACUUCUGACCAUCUGCCUUCUGUUACCUCAGCUGUCAUCAGCAUUUGCUGCUCUCUGAAUCUUCCAGUGAACCUCUGGCUAUGAAAGAAGGCUACCUGUACAACGACGCUGCCUCUUGGAUGAUGGACUGAACCUGACGACUUUGAGCUGCUUUUCCCCACCAACCUUGCAUGCCUCCCUCUUUGAACCCUACAUUAUGUAGGGCUGUUUUUUUUUUAAUCACAAUUCACACUAACAAUAUGCAUGCAAAUAGAUAUUAGAAACUAAUACUGAAAAGUGUAGCUGUUAGAUUGAUUUUGUUUUUUUUAACCAAAAUUUAUCACAUAUUUCUGUCUUUUUUUUCAAUAAAAGCAAUUUUCAAGUAAUAUUUUAAGUAAUCAAUAAACAAUGGAAACUUUU